UUUUGGGAUUUGAAAUGCGUCAGGCUUUUGACAGGCUGCUGUCGGCCUAGGCAUCCAUAUACGGUCCAGAAUACAUCGGCCUAGUGUACAUGUUUGGCCCAUAUCGCUGCUCGGGUGCCUUCUCCUGUCGUUGUCCUUGACCUCGUGGAAUAGUCCCAGCCACGGAACAACUCUGCUUCUCCGCUCCCCUGUCUCUCCCUGGCCGACGGCGGCGCCGCCGCUCUCCGGCAAGAUGUUUGGGGUCUACUGCGGCAUGUAUGUAUAUUACUCCCUCCUUCAUCCUGAUGUCCUGACAUGCUUAAUCGCCCGGCAUACUUUGUGGAUUUGGAUUUGGUUGACCACGCCGCCUGCUUAUCUUUCAGAUCCAAUCCGUCUGCUUCACCAUGCCGGAGUCUAUGGAAGGCUUCCACUGAUUCUCCUCUACAGCAUGUUCUUAUUGUUUUGGUUUUCCUCGUCCGCGGGCUGCCAGUUCUGGACACUGACCCUCUAGCCAUGAUGAGGCCGGUCAAGAAGUAGCAGGCUUCUCUUAGCAUCGCCAAUGAGGAAAUCUGUCGUGCCGGGAAACUAUGCCAGGCAAAGUGUUAGAUUCCCCCUGAAUUCGAUGGGAUUCAUGUGUGAUUUGAAGCUACCAGCGGCUGGACCGGAGGUAUUGUUCAUUUUUUCCUCCUUGUUCGAUGCCAUGAAAACGAAAACUUCUCUUGUAUACGAGGACAGUAGAUUGUUUGAUCUAUGACUAAUGUAAAUUUCAGUGCUUGGUUAACAGUCGUUAUUUUCUGAUUUUUCAGGCAGUUAAUUGAGGUCUGGUG
rnacentral:rRNA from 1 species